AAUUAUAUAAUCUAAAUAGGAUAUUAAAUUGCAAAUUUAAAAGUAGUUUUAUGAAACUUAUAAUUU
rnacentral:tRNA from 1 species